UAUUUUAUCACCCUCAUUCCUUAGUUUUGUGUACACUCCAUUACAAAUAGGAGUAUAUCCCUAGUGGAAGGAUGGUUCUUCUCAGCAAAGAGAAUUGAUCUCAGAGAAAAAUGAGAAGUUGUGAUGACAUUGAUUCACAUACAAGCUGAGAAGUUCCAGACAGAAGAGGAAGUGCUGAAAUACUCAAAGAAAGACGCUUCUCUGCCCCAGGAUGGAGUUCUGGCUGAAACUCGGUGUGAACCACUACCAGGGAAAGGAGACCGUCCCUGGGUGGGACUGAUUCUGGCUUCUGCAAACCUAUGGCAGCUGACAACUUCAGCUAAGAUGUGGGGCAAUAGAGUCUGACCUUUUGUGCACAUUCUUCCUACAAUAAUACAAUAAAAAUGCAGACUGUUAUUUCUGUU